CAUAGGUUAAUGAGGCGAACCGGGGGAACUGAAACAUCUAAGUACCCCGAGGAAAAGAAAUCAACCGAGAUUCCCCCAGUAGCGGCGAGCGAACGGGGAGGAGCCCAGAGCCUGAAUCAGUGUGUGUGUUAGUGGAAGCGUCUGGAAAGGCGCGCGAUACAGGGUGACAGCCCCGUACACAAAAAUGCACAUAUUGUGAGCUCGAUGAGUAGGGCGGGACACGUGGUAUCCUGUCUGAAUAUGGGGGGACCAUCCUCCAAGGCUAAAUACUCCUGACUGACCGAUAGUGAACCAGUACCGUGAGGGAAAGGCGAAAAGAACCCCGGCGAGGGGAGUGAAAAAGAACCUGAAACCGUGUACGUACAAGCAGUGGGAGCCUCUUUUAUGGGGUGACUGCGUACCUUUUGUAUAAUGGGUCAGCGACUUAUAUUCUGUAGCAAGGUUAACCGAAUAGGGGAGCCGAAGGGAAACCGAGUCUUAACUGGGCGUUAAGUUGCAGGGUAUAGACCCGAAACCCGGUGAUCUAGCCAUGGGCAGGUUGAAGGUUGGGUAACACUAACUGGAGGACCGAACCGACUAAUGUUGAAAAAUUAGCGGAUGACUUGUGGCUGGGGGUGAAAGGCCAAUCAAACCGGGAGAUAGCUGGUUCUCCCCGAAAGCUAUUUAGGUAGCGCCUCGUGAAUUCAUCUCCGGGGGUAGAGCACUGUUUCGGCAAGGGGGUCAUCCCGACUUACCAACCCGAUGCAAACUGCGAAUACCGGAGAAUGUUAUCACGGGAGACACACGGCGGGUGCUAACGUCCGUCGUGAAGAGGGAAACAACCCAGACCGCCAGCUAAGGUCCCAAAGUCAUGGUUAAGUGGGAAACGAUGUGGGAAGGCCCAGACAGCCAGGAUGUUGGCUUAGAAGCAGCCAUCAUUUAAAGAAAGCGUAAUAGCUCACUGGUCGAGUCGGCCUGCGCGGAAGAUGUAACGGGGCUAAACCAUGCACCGAAGCUGCGGCAGCGACACUAUGUGUUGUUGGGUAGGGGAGCGUUCUGUAAGCCUGUGAAGGUGGCCUGUGAGGGUUGCUGGAGGUAUCAGAAGUGCGAAUGCUGACAUAAGUAACGAUAAAGCGGGUGAAAAGCCCGCUCGCCGGAAGACCAAGGGUUCCUGUCCAACGUUAAUCGGGGCAGGGUGAGUCGACCCCUAAGGCGAGGCCGAAAGGCGUAGUCGAUGGGAAACAGGUUAAUAUUCCUGUACUUGGUGUUACUGCGAAGGGGGGACGGAGAAGGCUAUGUUGGCCGGGCGACGGUUGUCCCGGUUUAAGCGUGUAGGCUGGUUUUCCAGGCAAAUCCGGAAAACCAAGGCUGAGGCGUGAUGACGAGGCACUACGGUGCUGAAGUGACAAAUGCCCUGCUUCCAGGAAAAGCCUCUAAGCAUCAGGUAACAUCAAAUCGUACCCCAAACCGACACAGGUGGUCAGGUAGAGAAUACCAAGGCGCUUGAGAGAACUCGGGUGAAGGAACUAGGCAAAAUGGUGCCGUAACUUCGGGAGAAGGCACGCUGAUAUGUAGGUGAAGCGACUUGCUCGUGGAGCUGAAAUCAGUCGAAGAUACCAGCUGGCUGCAACUGUUUAUUAAAAACACAGCACUGUGCAAACACGAAAGUGGACGUAUACGGUGUGACGCCUGCCCGGUGCCGGAAGGUUAAUUGAUGGGGUUAGCGGUAACGCGAAGCUCUUGAUCGAAGCCCCGGUAAACGGCGGCCGUAACUAUAACGGUCCUAAGGUAGCGAAAUUCCUUGUCGGGUAAGUUCCGACCUGCACGAAUGGCGUAAUGAUGGCCAGGCUGUCUCCACCCGAGACUCAGUGAAAUUGAACUCGCUGUGAAGAUGCAGUGUACCCGCGGCAAGACGGAAAGACCCCGUGAACCUUUACUAUAGCUUGACACUGAACAUUGAGCCUUGAUGUGUAGGAUAGGUGGGAGGCUUUGAAGUGUGGACGCCAGUCUGCAUGGAGCCGACCUUGAAAUACCACCCUUUAAUGUUUGAUGUUCUAACGUUGGCCCGUAAUCCGGGUUGCGGACAGUGUCUGGUGGGUAGUUUGACUGGGGCGGUCUCCUCCUAAAGAGUAACGGAGGAGCACGAAGGUUGGCUAAUCCUGGUCGGACAUCAGGAGGUUAGUGCAAUGGCAUAAGCCAGCUUGACUGCGAGCGUGACGGCGCGAGCAGGUGCGAAAGCAGGUCAUAGUGAUCCGGUGGUUCUGAAUGGAAGGGCCAUCGCUCAACGGAUAAAAGGUACUCCGGGGAUAACAGGCUGAUACCGCCCAAGAGUUCAUAUCGACGGCGGUGUUUGGCACCUCGAUGUCGGCUCAUCACAUCCUGGGGCUGAAGUAGGUCCCAAGGGUAUGGCUGUUCGCCAUUUAAAGUGGUACGCGAGCUGGGUUUAGAACGUCGUGAGACAGUUCGGUCCCUAUCUGCCGUGGGCGCUGGAGAACUGAGGGGGGCUGCUCCUAGUACGAGAGGACCGGAGUGGACGCAUCACUGGUGUUCGGGUUGUCAUGCCAAUGGCACUGCCCGGUAGCUAAAUGCGGAAGAGAUAAGUGCUGAAAGCAUCUAAGCACGAAACUUGCCCCGAGAUGAGUUCUCCCUGAGACUUAGAGUCUCCUGAAGGAACGUUGAAGACGACGACGUUGAUAGGCCGGGUGUGUAAGCGCAGCGAUGCGUUGAGCUAACCGGUACUAAUGAACCGUGAGGCUUAACCUUACAACGCCGAAG
rnacentral:rRNA from 1 species